rnacentral:ncRNA from 1 species
CGAAGUAGGAUUUUAUGCGUCAAGUGUUCGCAGGCUGGGGAGUCGCCGCGAAACGAAAAGGAGAGCUUUGACUCGGUCUUACGAUAUAUUAUCCGCACCCGUUG